rnacentral:sRNA from 1 species
GCCGGGCAUGGUAGUGUGUGCCUGUAAUCCCAGCUACUCGGGAGGCUGAGUGGGGAGAAUUGCCUGAAUCUGGGAGGCGGAGGUUGCAGUGAGCCGAGCCACUGCACUCAAGCCCGGGCGACAGAGUAAGACCCUGUCUCAAAAAAAAAGGUUUCGAUUUUAAAUUAUUAUUAUUAUUUGAGAUGGAAUCUCACUCUGUCACCCAGGCUGGAGUGCAAUGGCGCGAUCUUGGCUCACUGCAACCUCCGUCUCCCAGGUUCAAGUGAUUCUCCUGCCUCU